rnacentral:RNase_P_RNA from 1 species
CCAGACGGCCGGAUGGUCGCCUCGGUGCGCGAAUUCGUUCGCGACCGGGGAGGAAAGUCCGGGCUCCACGGAAACACGGUGCCGGGUAACACCCGGCGGGGGCGACCCCAGGGAAAGUGCCACAGAAAGCAAACCGCCCACCGAAGCCCUCGGGCAUAGGCGGGCAAGGGUGAAAGGGUGCGGUAAGAGCGCACCGCGUUCCCGGCGACGGGGACGGCACGGCAAACCCCACCGGGAGCAAGACCGAAUAGGGACGGCACGCCCGAGGCCCUUCCUCGGAAGGGCAUUCGGCAGGCGCGUUUCCGCGCUGCUGUCCGGGUAGGUCGCGUGAGGCGUCCGGUAACGGGCGUCCCAGAUGAAUGGCCAUCCCUCGCACGCUCCGCUUGCGCGGCGCGUGCGAGGACAGAACCCGGCUUAUAGGCCGUCUGGCCCG